UGCUGGUGAGGGACCAGCGGUGGAAGCACAACAACUUUAGGAAGCCUCUCUGGGGGAGCAGCCAGUCUCUGAUCAAGCUAGGCUUGGCCCCUCCCUCACUGGACGAGUGUGGGGGUGGAUGUCUCGUGAUGGGCUGCGGCUGCUAUUCCAGGAAACGUUUGUUUGAAGAAAAAGAGAUCCCACAGCCUGACAACAAUGGCGCACACAGAUUCCUUCGGGAACGAGAGGCUUUUCCUCCUGGGAUAGGGAGGAGCAACAAAAAAGCAGACAGAUCGACGAUGGACGAAGGAGCUAAGAUUGAGAUAUUAGGAAUGUAGCAAACUGAAGGUUGGCUUGAAGAGUUGUUUACAUAAAAUGAAAAGGAGACAGAAUCAGUGGAAUGUAUAGCAAGGUAUUCAAAACAAGACAGGUCUACCUUUUACCCCCAAACAGCGACUAAUACGGUUAUGUUCUCUGCAAUAUCAUGUUAUUCAGUUGGCAACAUUAACAGACCUACUUCUAAAAUGUCACAAGGAUAUACAUUAAUUACAGGGGAUCUAUCAAUCACUGCCUCUGUUUAGUAAAUCACAAUUACACAGAAAAAAUCAGCACAAUUACACUGAAUAAGAACAGGGACACCACCUUCAUGGUAGGUCAUAUUGAAAGACAGGUUUUGUCAUGGAGCUGAACAUUUGUCUAGAGUCCAGAAUUUUUUCCCACAAAAUGUGGGCAAGACUUUCUUGGGGUGUACCCUUCAAAAUGUAAAAACAGAGGAGGCCUUUUCAUGCUUCUUUUAAAUUUGCACGCCAGUGCCAAAUUUGUGCAUACCAGUGGAGACCAAGAAAAUGCGGUGGUGUGGUGUUCCAUGUUCCAUCCAUUCACAUUGUCUUCCACCUGCUGCUGCCAGAAGUGGCAAAGGGAGAACAAGGAGACGGUGGUGUGACUGGUAUGGGGAAAUCAACUGUUUUAUUUUGGGGUGUGGAUUCCUGGUCUCAGCCACAAACGGUGGAAAGAAGAAAACCUUUAAGCUCUGGGCUAAUUCUUCAACGCAACCCAGGUUUGUGUGCCCACUCAACCAGUAGACAUGGCCCAGACUUCUCCAAAUCCUUCCACCAGACCGAGCCCCGUCACAGUUAAAUUAUUAAUAGCCUAUUUAUUUUAACUUACAUUGUUGAAAUGGAAAUGUCAAAAGGACUGAAGCCAGAGAAACAAGCCUGUCAUUGUGCUUUGGUAUUGUUUACUUAUUAUAAACACUGAAAUGUUCUCCUAUUCAUUACGUUGUUAUAUUCAAACAACAAUGGAAAAAUUAAAAACAUUGUUUUACAAUGCUGCAAUGCUCAUGGCAGGUUCUUCCAUCUCCAACAUUGCUUGGCCCAUAGCCAUUUUAAAGUGUUUUGGAUUAAACACCUUUGAAUAGCUUUAUUAGUACCAAAAUUUACAGUGCUGUAAGAAAUGUUUUUUCGGCCCCUUCCUGAUUUCCCCUAUUAUUGCA